AAAAUUGGUGAAGCUAGGACCCAGCGGUUUUCGGAAAUGUGUCACAAGGUAAUAUAGACCAAUCGGGUGCUUUGUUAUUGUAGCCUGACCAUGGAGAGGGGACGUGCGCAAAUCACACAGACGCGUCUCACCAAACACCCGAGCGAGCGCGCACAGAUCUUUUUUAGCUGCUGAAAUGGCUUCAGGAAAGGAAAAACAGCCACAGAAGAAGGUUUUUGUCGGCGUGCAGGCUGUUAGAAGAGAUAGACCGUUUCUCUAACACAGAUCCUGAAACGACGCAAGCUUUGACUCGGUGUGCGAAGUAGCUUUGAGUGGAUCCUGACGUGGAUAAUGUAAGUUGGAUGGAUUCCGCCUAGUCACGCAGAGAGGCAACGCCAUUCUUUGUCCUCAAACACACCUGGGCACCCAACCCCCACCGACAAUGUUGCACUGUGUGCAUGGUGUCAAGCAGGACUUGCUUCAAGCGCUGGCACAGGCCUAAAUUCAUGUAGUCCAGAAGUUUGGACCCUUUCUUCACUUUUUUUUUUCUUGAAAUCUUUAUUUUUAUUCAGUUUUUAUUAAUUUUUUUUUGAAUAUUGCACUUUAUAUUCCUUUGCACAUUUUCUAUUCAAAUUAUUAUUAUGCAAAAGAUGUUUGAUUUAUUUGCAAAUAAAAGGUAAAAACUA